rnacentral:rRNA from 1 species
UACGGGGGAGCAAGCGUUGUUCGGAUUUACUGGGCGUAAAGGGCGCGUAGGCGGCGUGACAAGUCACUUGUGAAAUCUCCGGGCUUAACUCGGAACGGUCAAGUGAUACUGUCGUGCUUAGAGUACAGAAGGGGGCAACUGGAAUUCUCGGUGUAGCGGUGAAAUGCGUAGAUAUCGAGAGGAACACCUGCGGCGAAGGCGGGAUUGCUGGGCUGAUACUGACGCUGAGGAGCGAAAGUGUGGGGAGCGAACAGG